CCUACGGGUGGCAGCAGUGGGGAAUAUUGGGCAAUGGACGCAAGUCUGACCCAGCAACGCCGCGUGAAGGAAGAAGGCUUUCUGGUUGUAAACUUCUUUUAAUGGGGAAGAGCAGCAGACUGUACCCCUUGAAUCAGCCACGGCUCACUACGUGACAGCAGCCGCGGUAAUACGGAGGUGGCACGCGUUUUCCGGAAUUACUGGGUGUAAAGGGCGUGCAGCCGGUGAGACAAGUCAGAUGGGAAAUCCACGGGCGCAACCCGUGAACUGCAUUUGAAACUGUUGCCCUUGAGUGUCGGAGAGGUAAUCGGAAUGCCUGGUGUAGCGGUGAAAUGCGUAGAUAUCACGCAGAACCCCGAUUGCGAAGGCAGCAUGCCGGAUUCCGACUGACGCUGAAGCACGAAAGCGUGGGGAUCGAACAGGAUUAGAUACCCUGGUAGUC
rnacentral:rRNA from 1 species